rnacentral:rRNA from 1 species
CGUUGGUGACGCGGAGGAUCAUU